rnacentral:rRNA from 1 species
GAUGAACGCUGGCGGCGUGCCUAAUACAUGCAAGUCGAGCGAGCAGACGAGGAGCUUGCUCCUCUGACGUUAGCGGCGGACGGGUGAGUAACACGUGGAUAACCUACCUAUAAGACUGGGAUAACUUCGGGAAACCGGAGCUAAUACCGGAUAAUAUAUUGAACCGCAUGGUUCAAUAGUCAAAGACGGUUUUGCUGUCACUUAUAGAUGGAUCCGCGCCGCAUUAGCUAGUUGGUAAGGUAACGGCUUACCAAGGCAACGAUGCGUAGCCGACCUGAGAGGGUGAUCGGCCACACUGGAACUGAGACACGGUCCAGACUCCUACGGGAGGCAGCAGUAGGGAAUCUUCCGCAAUGGGCGAAAGCUUGACGGAGCAACGCCGCGUGAGUGAUGAAGGUCUUCGGAUCGUAAAACUCUGUUAUUAGGGAAGAACAAAUGUGUAAGUAACUAUGCACGUCUUGACGGUACCUAAUCAGAAAGCCACGGCUAACUACGUG